CCCAGCACGAGAUUCCUAUCGGACUUGUUCCAUGCUUGACUGUAUGAAGAUCAGCACAAAAAUACAAGCGAGAUAGGAUAAUAUAGCAAACAGGACAGCGAACCUUAACAGAGUAUAAUUGGAAUAAGAAGGAAGUACUGCGAUUGACCAACAAGAAAUCGCAUAACAGAUUCGAGAUGACAAAAUUUGGGGUCUUUAGUGGUUCGCAUUGAAGCCACGGCACAAACCCACAAACAAGAAACCGAACCAAAGUGAUUCGGAACGAUCACGAGGCAAAAGCUAAUCAAUGUCAUACUUCAACGCCCACUUCGCCAUUCUACUCAUUUCAAGAACCUUCAACUCAAGAACCCUUCAUCGAAUUUCCCUCAAAUAAAGCUAAAAACCAACAUGAUCAGCGAACUUACUUGGUUGGAGCGAGGCACGGUCUAUUGCGUUGACUUGGUUGACCUAAAGAGGAGGAGGCACGGUCUAUUGCCUUCUUCGCCAUGGACGUGACCUUUCUGUUCAUUUGCAGAGCUUAUCAAGAACAGGGAAAGAAAAGCGCAUGACAGAUUCAAGACGACAACAUUUGGGGGUCUUUAGUAGUUCACGUUGAAGCCACACCACAAACCCACAUACAAGAAACUGAAUAAAAGAGAUUCGCAACCAUCACAAGGCAAAAUCUAAUCGAUGUCAUACUUUAAUGCACGCCUCGCCAUACUACUCAAUUCAAGAGCCUUCAACUCGAGAACCCUUCACCGAAUUUCCCUCAAGUAAAGCUAAAAACCAACACCAUCGUCGAACUUACUCGGUUGGAGCGACACACGGCCUCUUGGGUUGACUUGGUUGACCUGAAGAAGAGGAGGCCGAAGCUCUCUUCGCCAUGGACGCGACCUCUCUGUUCUUCUGUGCAGCUUACAAGAAACAGGGAAAGUGCCUGGAAUCUUGGGAGCGCUUUCGGUUGCCGAGAGAAGAGAGUAGCAGAGAAAGGAAUGACACAGAAGACAGUUUUACCAACGAAC
rnacentral:lncRNA from 1 species